rnacentral:rRNA from 1 species
CCUACGGGAGGCAGCAGUGAGGAAUAUUGGUCAAUGGACGAGAGUCUGAACCAGCCAAGUAGCGUGAAGGAUGACUGCCCUAUGGGUUGUAAACUUCUGUUAUAAAGGAAUAAAACGAGGCACGUGGGCGUUUUUGCAUGUACUUUAUGAAUAAGGAUCGGCUAACUCCGUGCCAGCAGCCGCGGUAAGACGGAGGAUCCGAGCGUUAUCCGGAGUUAGUGGGUUUAAAGGGAGCGUAGAUGGGUUGUUAAGUCAGUUGUGACAGUUUGCGGCUCAACCGUAAAAUUGCAGUUGAUACUGGCAGUCUUGCGUACAGUUGUGGUAGUCUGCCUUCG